rnacentral:misc_RNA from 1 species
GGUAGUAAAAGUCGUAACAAGGUUUCCGUAGGUGAACCUGCGGAAGGAUCAUUCAUAAUAAAGUGUUUUAUGGCACUUUUUAAAAAUCCAUACCCACCUUGUGUGCAAUGUUAGAUCUCGUCAAUCUUGGCGAGAUUUUUAUACAUCAACUCAUUCUUUAACUAAUUUGUCUGAAAAGUAUUAUGAAUGCUUAAUUCAAAAUACAACUUUCAACAACGGAUCUCUUGGCUCUC